GACGAACGCUGGCGGCGUGCCUAAUACAUGCAAGUUGAGCGCUGAAGGUUGGUACUUGUACCGACUGGAUGAGCAGCGAACGGGUGAGUAACGCGUGGGGAAUCUGCCUUUGAGCGGGGGACAACAUUUGGAAACGAAUGCUAAUACCGCAUAAAAACUUUAAACACAAGUUUUAAGUUUGAAAGAUGCAAUUGCAUCACUCAAAGAUGAUCCCGCGUUGUAUUAGCUAGUUGGUGAGGUAAAGGCUCACCAAGGCGAUGAUACAUAGCCGACCUGAGAGGGUGAUCGGCCACAUUGGGACUGAGACACGGCCCAAACUCCUACGGGAGGCAGCAGUAGGGAAUCUUCGGCAAUGGUCGAAAGUCUGACCGAGCAACGCCGCGUGAGUGAAGAAGGUUUUCGGAUCGUAAAACUCUGUUGGUAGAGAAGAACGUUGGUGAGAGUGGAAAGCUCAUCAAGUGACGGUAACUACCCAGAAAGGGACGGCUAACUACGU
rnacentral:rRNA from 1 species